rnacentral:rRNA from 1 species
CGGGUCGCUCCAGCAGUGGGGAAUAUUGCACAAUGGGCGCAAGCCUGAUGCAGCCAUGCCGCGUGUAUGAAGAAGGCCUUCGGGUUGUAAAGUACUUUCAGCGGGGAGGAAGGGAGUAAAGUUAAUACCUUUGCUCAUUGACGUUACCCGCAGAAGAAGCACCGGCUAACUCCGUGCCAGCAGCCGCGGUAAUACGGAGGGUGCAAGCGUUAAUCGGAAUUACUGGGCGUAAAGCGCACGCAGGCGGUUUGUUAAGUCAGAUGUGAAAUCCCCGGGCUCAACCUGGGAACUGCAUCUGAUACUGGCAAGCUUGAGUCUCGUAGAGGGGGGUAGAAUUCCAGGUGUAGCGGUGAAAUGCGUAGAGAUCUGGAGGAAUACCGGUGGCGAAGGCGGCCCCCUGGACGAAGACUGACGCUCAGGUGCGAAAGCGUGGGGAGCAAACAGGAUUAGAUACCCCUGUAGUC